rnacentral:lncRNA from 1 species
CUAGACCUAUAGACACCCUUAAAAUCCGCCGUUACACCCCAUCAGAUUGGAGGUCCAUCAUUUUCUUCAGCCAUUCAACACACAUAAAUGACCAUCGUCACUCUGAAUCUCUAACCUAAAGAAAGCCGCCAAGGACCUGUGCCUUUUCUCCACCCUUAGAGCACCCUUCACCAACACGACAACAACCGCCACAGCUGCUAACCCCAACUCCAUCUCCAGUCAGUCGCAACACCAACCAGCACACCACAAAUAGCUGUUCAUCUCCUUCAACCCCUGAAUACACUUAGACCUAAGAGAAGACAUUCGUUUCUAUCAUCUUCUCCAUGAAGACCAACCACAAAACCAGCUGUUGCUCCACGACCUCACACCAAACGACCCUCAUCUCUUAACUCACUCUCAACUGGAUCAAAUGCCGAUCUCCAUCCCUUCCAAUGACCCUUCCUCUCUAAAACACAAUAGAACCACAAGUCCACCAGGAACCAGCCAGCUAUUCUUCUCGGAAAAAAAACCACGCACACACACGCAAAACAGUUUUAAGCUGAGGUUGGUUUGAGGUCUUCACCGUCCAUUCGAGGUUCCGUCGCCGGUUCGGAGUUCCGAUCAGUGGCCUUCUGUUCUUGGUUUGUAUUUUUGUUCGUGGUUCGUCCGGUCCGCGUUUUAAAUUUCAAAAGUCGGAACAGAAGGUAAUUGGUUGAUUUGAUCUGGAUCUUGGAUCUAAUAUUAUCGUUUCUUUGCUCAGGAUGCCUUAGCAGUAUUUGGUUUCUGUGUUUUGUUCUUUUGUUAUUAUUGGUCUGUUUUUGCUCAAUUUAUAUUAAGAUGGAAUUGUGGUUGAUUUGUGUUUUAAUAUAGGAUUCUGGUUGAUUUGCGUUUCAAUAUGGAAUUUUGGCUGAUUUGUGUCGGCCUAACUAUGUGCAUACGACGUUGCUUCCGUGAAUUAGUGUAUCAAGUGUUUACUGAUGUUUUAUUUAUUAAACAGACAAAUAUGCUGGAUGAUCGAUGAACAUGGGCUUGAAGUAAAACAUAGGUCGUUAGUGUUCUAAAUCUCUUGUUUAGGUAGAUCAUUUUAUUUUGAAUUCAUGCUCCCGUUAAUAUCAUAUAGUUGCCCUCUUUUAUUAACCCAGAAAUAAUUUUAUAGUAUUCACAAACAUGUUAGUAUACUUUAGGUGUAUUUCGAAUUUUUUAUCGCGAUUAUGUACACGUUCGAGUGACAUGAUUACGACUUCUAAAAAUGAAUAUCUGC